rnacentral:rRNA from 1 species
UUUCUAUUUAACCCUGGUAGAGUUAACAUGAAUAAAGCUUGACUAGUAAAACUACAUACAGUCUUUUUAUUACUUUAGUUUAGUUAGGAGUUUAGCAGCUUUAUGUGUAGUGGUGAAGACUAUUAUAAUAAGGUGACUUAGUAAUGGUUACUAGUUUAUUGAAGAGACAAAGUCGCAGUGCCAGCAGUCGCGGUUAAACUGCCUUCUUCUAGCUUUAACUGUUGGUUUAAAUUAGUAUUAAAUAUUGUUUAAGAAUUUGUUAGUUAAAUAGGUUUUAUUGAAAAAGUAUUUUAUUAUUGUAAUUCGAGAAGUUGACGAAAAUAGGGAUUGGAUACCCCUUUAUUUGACUUAUAAGUUUUAGUCCACAGUUUGGAACUGAAAGGGUUUGGCAGUGAAUUAAGUUCGUCCGGGGGAACGUGCUUAUUAAAGAGAUGGUCCGCUGAUUAGUUUACUAUAGUUAUUGUAAGUUAGUGUAUAUCCGUUUGUAAAUCUAUGCUGCAAGGUUAUUAAGCGGGUAAAUUAUUAAUUAAUUUAAAACAGGUCCAUAUGCUGCUAAUAUUAUAGGUUAUUGUGCGUUACGUUAAGAAGAGGAUUAUAUGUAAGUGAAUCUGAUUUAGGACUCGGAAGUAGGGGUGGUAUAGUAUGCUAUUUCGAAGGUUGAAAUAAUUUAUGUACACAUCGCCCGACAAUCUCGGUGAUUAGCUGAGUUAAGUCGUAACAUGGUAGUGCUUGAAGAAUCAGGCGCUAAGUCUAGUUAAGUA